CGGAGGGUGCAAGCGUUAUCCGGAUUCACUGGGUUUAAAGGGUGUGUAGGCGGGUAUUUAAGUCAGUGGUGAAAUCUCCAGGCUCAACCUGGAAACUGCCAUUGAUACUAUUUAUCUUGAAUUCUGUUGAGGUGGGCGGAAUAUAUCAUGUAGCGGUGAAAUGCUUAGAGAUGAUAUAGAACACCGAUUGCGAAGGCAGCUCGCUAAACAGAUAUUGACGCUGAGGCACGAAAGCGUGGGGAUCAAACAGGAUUAGAUACCCUGGUAGUCCACGCCCUAAACGAUGAUUACUCGACAUACGUGAUACACUAUGUGUGUCUGAGCGAAAGCAUUAAGUAAUCCACCUGGGAAGUACGUCCGCAAGGAUG
rnacentral:rRNA from 1 species